rnacentral:rRNA from 1 species
GAUGAACGCUGGCGGCGUGCCUAAUACAUGCAAGUCGAGCGAACAGACGAGGAGCUUGCUCCUCUGACGUUAGCGGCGGACGGGUGAGUAACACGUGGAUAACCUACCUAUAAGACUGGGAUAACUUCGGGAAACCGGAGCUAAUACCGGAUAAUAUAUUGAACCGCAUGGUUCAAUAGUGAAAGACGGUUUUGCUGUCACUUAUAGAUGGAUCCGCGCCGCAUUAGCUAGUUGGUAAGGUAACGGCUUACCAAGGCAACGACGCGUAGCCGACCUGAGAGGGUGUUCGGCCACACUGGAACUGAGACACGGUCCAGACUCCUACGGGAGGCAGCAGUAGGGAAUCUUCCGCAAUGGGCGAAAGCCUGACGGAGCAACGCCGCGUGAGUGAUGAAGGUCUUCGGAUCGUAAAACUCUGUUAUUAGGGAAGAACAAAUGUGUAAGUAACUAUGCACGUCUUGACGGUACCUAAUCAGAAAGCCACGGCUAACUACGUG